UUCCUCGAUCAUAAUCGUUCUCUUACUGGGAAAAGAGACCAAAGAAAUACUAACCAGGUAAUGGGAUCGAAUCCAAUCUUGCCGGAAGGGUCUCAAAUUCCAGCAGAUGAUGAUGAGCUGGGUGUUCAUGAAGAUGCUAUCAGUUUUGUCAAUAAGGUUCGGAAAAGAUUUGAACAUGAUGAAAGUGUUUAUAAAGCUUUUCUUGAUGUGUUAACUAGCCAUGUGAAGAUGAAAGAAUGCGACCAGUUGAGUAUACGUGAUGUUCUUGAAAAGGUUUCUCAACUUUUCUGUAAUCAUGAAGAUUUAGUGGAAGAUUUCAAACGCUUUUUACCAGUUCCUGAAGCCUUGGAUAAGGAUUAUAACUCUGAGGGGAAGAAAUCUAGUGUUGCAGGAGUUUCCAAGAAAAAGAAGAAGCCAGACAGAAUGGAUAAAUUGCAGAUAGAGACAGAGAGACUCAAGGAGAAGGAGUUUAAAUCAAUUCAAGAACUGGACCUUUCUCGUUGUAAAAGAUGUAGCCCAAGUUAUUGGAUUUUUCCAGAGGACUAUCCAAUUCCUCAAGCAAGCAAUAGGACCAAACUUUGUUCAGAUGUACUGAAUGAUCGAUUGGUAUGCAUUCCUUCAACUCUGCAGGAUUUCUCACUCAAACACAAGCGUCCAAAUGAACAUGGAGAAGUCCUUUUUAAAUGUGAAAAUGAGAAGUAUGAGCUUGACUCAGCCAAAAAAAAUGUUGAAGAGUUACAAGGAAGGUGGCAGUACCAGUACAGAAGAAAAGGGAAGGAUGUG
rnacentral:misc_RNA from 1 species